UACGUAGGGUGCAAGCGUUGUCCGGAAUUAUUGGGCGUAAAGAGCUUGUAGGCGGUUUGUCGCGUCUGCUGUGAAAUUUCGGGGCUCAACCCCGAACUUGCAGUGGGUACGGGCAGACUAGAGUGUGGUAGGGGGGACUGGAAUUCCUGGUGUAGCGGUGAAAUGCGCAGAUAUCUGGAGGAACACCGAUGGCGAAGGCGGGUCUCUGGGC
rnacentral:rRNA from 1 species